UACGAGAGGUGCAAACGUUAUUCGGAUUUACUGGGCGUAAAGGGUGUGUAGGCGGCAUGUUGUGUCUGUUGUUAAAGACUCCGGCUUACCCGGAGGAGUGCAGCGGAAACUAAUGUGCUAGAGGAUGGAAGAGAGGAGUGGAAUUCCCGGAGUAGCGGUAAAAUGCGUAGAUCUCGGGAGGAACACCAAUGGCGAAGGCAGCUCCUUGGUCCAUACCUGACGCUGAGAAACGAAAGCGUGGGGAGCAAACAGG
rnacentral:rRNA from 1 species